AGAGUUUGAUCAUGGCUCAGAACGAACGCUGGCGGCAUGCCUAAAACAUGCAAGUCGAACGGGUGUAGCAAUACACCAGUGGCAGACGGGUGCGUAACACGUGGGAACCUGCCCAGAGGUUCGGAAUAGCUGCGGGAAACUGCAGGUAAUACCGAAUGUCGCCUGAGGGCUAAAGGAGCAAUUCGCCUUUGGAGGGGCCCGCGUCCGAUUAGCUAGUUGGUGAGGUAACGGCUCACCAAGGCUACGAUCGGUAGCUGGUCUGAGAGGAUGACCAGCCACACUGGAACUGAGAUACGGUCCAGACUCCUACGGGAGGCAGCAGUUGGGAAUAUUGGACAAUGGGGGAAACCCUGAUCCAGCAAUGCCGCGUGGGUGAUGAAGGCCUUCGGGUUGUAAAGCCCUUUUGGCGGGGACGAUGAUGACGGUACCCGCAGAAUAAGCCCCGGCUAACUUCGUGCCAGCAGCCGCGGUAAUACGAAGGGGGCUAGCGUUGUUCGGAAUUACUGGGCGUAAAGGGCGCGUAGGCGGCUGUGCAAGUCAGGUGUGAAAGCCCUGGGCUCAACCCAGGAUGUGCACUUGAUACUGCACGGCUAGAGUGUCGGAGAGGAUGGUGGAAUUCCCAGUGUAGAGGUGAAAUUCGUAGAUAUUGGGAAGAACACCGGUGGCGAAGGCGACCAUCUGGACGACAACUGACGCUGAGGCGCGAAAGCGUGGGGAGCAAACAGGAUUAGAUACCCUGGUAGUCCACGCCGUAAACUAUGCGUGUUGGACGUUGGCGAGCCUAGCUCGUCGGUGUCGCAGCUAACGCGUUAAACACGCCGCCUGGGGAGUACGGCCGCAAGGUUAAAACUCAAAGGAAUUGACGG
rnacentral:rRNA from 1 species